rnacentral:sRNA from 1 species
AUCCAUGGGCUGUUCUGGUGACAGUGCUAUGCUCUUCUCUUUAGGGUGACUGAGCUCUCUUCUCUGUUGACCCAGUCUCAGAAGCAAAAUGAAGAUUAUGAAAAGAUGGUAAAGGCUCUGAGAGAGACAGUGGAGAUCCUGGAGACAAAUCACACAGAAUUAAUGGAACAUGAAGCAUCUCUUAGUAGGAAUGCGCAAGAGGAGAAGUUGUCUUUACAGCAGGUGAUCAAGGAUAUAACCCAGGUCAUGGUGGAAGAAGGGGACAAUAUAGCCCAAGGCUCUGGUCAUGAGAACUCUUUGGAAUUGGACUCUAGUAUCUUCUCCCAGUUUGAUUACCAGGAUCCAGACAAGGCUCU